GACAACUUAUGUUGCAUUCAAAGAAACUCUGAUUUUCUAUGGCUCUAGAUUUAUUUAUUUAUCUACUUAAAGUCAGAGUUACACAGAGAGAGAAGGAGAGGCAGAGAGAGAGAGGUCUUCCAUCUGAUGGCCCACUCUCUAGAUGGCUGCAACGGUCGGAGCUGAGCUGAGCUGAGCUGAUCAGAAGCCAGGAGCCAGGAGCCAGGAGCCAGGAGCUUCCUCCGGGUCUGCUAUGGUUGUUUUUACAUGUGCCCUUUCAAGUGAAAUAACUAAAGUUGCUUCCAUUAGCGGAUAUCUGGAUGGAUUUAGAAACCAAGAGCUGCUGAAGGGAGGAGAGAACUUCCACUUUGACUAGGACCUUGUCUAAAUACGAUCAGAGUCGGCAAACUCAAAAGGCUUUCAUAGCCUUGGCAACUCAUGACAAGAGCCUAGGGUGAUUACUGAUGCCAUAAACAAAAGUGUCAAUUUGUUAAGUCCACAACAGAAGUCACUGUGCUCUUACUACUCAUGUAGUAUCUCUACCCUUAAUGUGUUGUACUACGUGAAUUAAUGCUAUAACUAGUACUCAAACAGUAUUUUUCACUUGUGUUUCUGUGUGGGUGCAAACUGUUGAAAUCUUUACUUAAUAUAUACUAAAUCGAUCUUCUGUAUAUAAAGAGAAUUGAAAAUGAAUCUUGAUGUAAUGGAAGGGGAGAGGGAGUGGGAAAGAGGAGGGUU